rnacentral:rRNA from 1 species
CCUACGGGAGGCAGCAGUGGGGAAUAUUGCACAAUGGGCGCAAGCCUGAUGCAGCGACGCCGCGUGAGGGAUGACGGCCUUCGGGUUGUAAACCUCUUUCAGUAGGGAAGAAGCGUAAGUGACGGUACCUGCAGAAGAAGCGCCGGCUAACUACGUGCCAGCAGCCGCGGUAAUACGUAGGGCGCAAGCGUUAUCCGGAAUUAUUGGGCGUAAAGAGCUCGUAGGCGGUUUGUCGCGUCUGCUGUGAAAGACCGGGGCUCAACUCCGGUUCUGCAGUGGGUACGGGCAGACUAGAGUGCAGUAGGGGAGACUGGAAUUCCUGGUGUAGCGGUGAAAUGCGCAGAUAUCAGGAGGAACACCGAUGGCGAAGGCAGGUCUCUGGGCUGUAACUGACGCUGAGGAGCGAAAGCAUGGGGAGCGAACAGGAUUAGAUACCCUGGUAGUCCAUGCCGUAAACGUUGGGCACUAGGUGUGGGGGACAUUCCACGUUUUCCGCGCCGUAGCUAACGCAUUAAGUGCCCGCCUGGGGGAGGUACGGCCGCGAGACGUAAACGUAAAGUAAGUAGACGGCGNGAGACGUGCGACGACGACGACGAGGGAGAGG